UCCUACGGGGGGCAGCAGUGGGGGAUAUUGCACAAUGGGUGAAACCCUGAUGCAGCGACGCCGCGUGGGUGAAGAAGCGCCUCGGCGCGUAAAGCCCUGUCAGCAGGGGAGAAAAUGACGGUACCUGAAGAAGAAGCCCCGGCUAAAUACGUGCCAGCAGCCGCGGUAAUACGUAGGGGGCAAGGGUUGUCCGGAAUGACUGGGCGUAAAGGGCGUGUAGGCGGGUUAUUAAGUUAGAAGUGAA
rnacentral:rRNA from 1 species